rnacentral:rRNA from 1 species
GGGCGUUAAGUUGCAGGGUAUAGACCCGAAACCCGGUGAUCUAGCCAUGGGCAGGUUGAAGGUUGGGUAACACUAACUGGAGGACCGAACCGACUAAUGUUGAAAAAUUAGCGGAUGACCUGUGGCUGGGGGUGAAAGGCCAAUCAAACCGGGAGAUAGCUGGUUCUCCCCGAAAGCUAUUUAGGUAGCGCCUCGUGAAUUCAUCUCCGGGGGUAGAGCACUGUUUCGGCUAGGGGGUCAUCCCGACUUACCAACCCGAUGCAAACUGCGAAUACCGGAGAAUGUUAUCACGGGAGACACACGGCGGGUGCUAACGUCCGUCGUGAAGAGGGAAACAACCCAGACCGCCAGCUAAGGUCCCAAAGUCAUGGUUAAGUGGGAAACGAUGUGGGAAGGCCCAGACAGCCAGGAUGUUGGCUUAGAAGCAGCCAUCAUUUAAAGAAAGCGUAAUAGCUCACUGGUCGAGUCGGCCUGCGCGGAAGAUGUAACGGGGCUAAACCAUGCACCGAAGCUGCGGCAGCGACACUCAGGUGUUGUUGGGUAGGGGAGCGUUCUGUAAGCCUGCGAAGGUGGCCUGUGAGGGUUGCUGGAGGUAUCAGAAGUGCGAAUGCUGACAUAAGUAACGAUAAAGCGGGUGAAAAGCCCGCUCGCCGGAAGACCAAGGGUUCCUGUCCAACGUUAAUCGGGGCAGGGUGAGUCGACCCCUAAGGCGAGGCCGAAAGGCGUAGUCGAUGGGAAACGGGUUAAUAUUCCCGUACUUGGUGUUACUGCGAAGGGGGGACGGAGAAGGCUAUGUUGGCCGGGCGACGGUUGUCCCGGUUUAAGCGUGUAGGUGUGUGUUCCAGGUAAAUCCGGUUCACUUUAACACUGAGGCGUGAUGACGAGGCACUACGGUGCUGAAGCAACAAAUGCCCUGCUUCCAGGAAAAGCCUCUAAGCAUCAGGUAACAUCAAAUCGUACCCCAAACCGACACAGGUGGUCAGGUAGAGAAUACCAAGGCGCUUGAGAGAACUCGGGUGAAGGAACUAGGCAAAAUGGUGCCGUAACUUCGGGAGAAGGCACGCUGACACGUAGGUGAAGUGAUUUACUCAUGGAGCUGAAGUCAGUCGAAGAUACCAGCUGGCUGCAACUGUUUAUUAAAAACACAGCACUGUGCAAACACGAAAGUGGACGUAUACGGUGUGACGCCUGCCCGGUGCCGGAAGGUUAAUUGAUGGGGUCAGCGCAAGCGAAGCUCCUGAUCGAAGCCCCGGUAAACGGCGGCCGUAACUAUAACGGUCCUAAGGUAGCGAAAUUCCUUGUCGGGUAAGUUCCGACCUGCACGAAUGGCGUAAUGAUGGCCAGGCUGUCUCCACCCGAGACUCAGUGAAAUUGAACUCGCUGUGAAGAUGCAGUGUACCCGCGGCAAGACGGAAAGACCCCGUGAACCUUUACUAUAGCUUGACACUGAACAUUGAGCCUUGAUGUGUAGGAUAGGUGGGAGGCUUUGAAGCGUGGACGCCAGUCUGCGUGGAGCCGACCUUGAAAUACCACCCUUUAAUGUUUGAUGUUCUAACGUGGACCCGUGAUCCGGGUUGCGGACAGUGUCUGGUGGGUAGUUUGACUGGGGCGGUCUCCUCCUAAAGAGUAACGGAGGAGCACGAAGGUUGGCUAAUCCUGGUCGGACAUCAGGAGGUUAGUGCAAUGGCAUAAGCCAGCUUGACUGCGAGCGUGACGGCGCGAGCAGGUGCGAAAGCAGGUCAUAGUGAUCCGGUGGUUCUGAAUGGAAGGGCCAUCGCUCAACGGAUAAAAGGUACUCCGGGGAUAACAGGCUGAUACCGCCCAAGAGUUCAUAUCGACGGCGGUGUUUGGCACCUCGAUGUCGGCUCAUCACAUCCUGGGGCUGAAGUAGGUCCCAAGGGUAUGGCUGUUCGCCAUUUAAAGUGGUACGCGAGCUGGGUUUAGAACGUCGUGAGACAGUUCGGUCCCUAUCUGCCGUGGGCGCUGGAGAACUGAGGGGGGCUGCUCCUAGUACGAGAGGACCGGAGUGGACGCAUCACUGGUGUUCGGGUUGUCAUGCCAAUGGCACUGCCCGGUAGCUAAAUGCGGAAGAGAUAAGUGCUGAAAGCAUCUAAGCACGAAACUUGCCCCGAGAUGAGUUCUCCCUGAGACUUAGAGUCUCCUGAAGGAACGUUGAAGACGACGACGUUGAUAGGCCGGGUGUGUAAGCGCAGCGAUGCGUUGAGCUAACCGGUACUAAUGAACCGUGAGGCUUAACCUUACAACGCCGAAG